rnacentral:rRNA from 1 species
UGGGGAAUAUUGGACAAUGGGCGCAAGCCUGAUCCAGCAAUGCCGCGUGGGUGAAGACGGCCUGCGGGUUGUAAAGCCCUUUGGGCGGGGAGGAACGGCGUCGCGCGAACAGGGCGGCGCCCUGACGUUACCCGCGAAACAAGCACCGGCUAACUCCGUGCCAGCAGCCGCGGUAAUACGGAGGGUGCGAGCGUUAAUCGGAAUUACUGGGCGUAAAGCGUGCGUAGGCGGUCCGGUCAGUCAGCCGUGA